CCGAGUGGCGAACGGGUGAGUAACACGUGAGUAACCUGCCCUUGACUUUGGGAUAACUUCAGGAAACUGGGGCUAAUACCGGAUAGGAGCUCCUGCUGCAUGGUGGGGGUUGGAAAGUUUCGGCGGUUGGGGAUGGACUCGCGGCUUAUCAGCUUGUUGGUGGGGUAGUGGCUUACCAAGGCUUUGACGGGUAGCCGGCCUGAGAGGGUGACCGGCCACAUUGGGACUGAGAUACGGCCCAG
rnacentral:rRNA from 1 species